rnacentral:misc_RNA from 1 species
AAGUCGUAACAAGGUUUCCGUAGGUGAACCUGCGGAAGGAUCAUUAUUGAAUACGAAUUGGUUCUGAUGCUGGCCCUUCACCGGGCAUGUGCUCGUUCCAAAUCUAUUUAUCUUCUCUUGUGCACCUUUUGUAGUCUUUUGAAAAAAAGUGAACCUCUCGCAGCGAUGCGGUCUGGGAGGUUGGGCGCAAGCCCUUCUCCUGCUUGCUUUCUUCAAGGCUAUGUUUUCAUAUACACUAUAAAGUUACAGAAUGUCUUUUAAAGAUUGCUCGCGCAGUCAUUAAACCUAUACAACUUUCAGCAACGGAUCUCUUGGCUCUC